GACGAACGCUGGCGGCGUGCUUAACACAUGCAAGUCGAACGAUGAAACCUAGCUUGCUAGGUCGAUUAGUGGCGAACGGGUGAGUAACACGUGACUAACCUGCCCCUUUCUCUGGGAUAACGCUCCGAAAGGAGUGCUAAUACCGGAUACUCACACCGAGGCACAUGCCUUGGUGUGGAAAGUUUUUCGGAAAGGGAUGGAGUCGCGGCCUAUCAGCUUGUUGGUGAGGUAACGGCUCACCAAGCGACGACGGGUAGCCGGCCUGAGAGGGCGACCGGCCACACUGGGACUGAGACACGGCCCAGACUCCUACGGGAGGCAGCAGUGGGGAAUAUUGCGCAAUGGGCGCAAGCCUGAUGCAGCGACGCCGCGUGAGGGAUGAAGGUCUUCGGAUUGUAAACCUCUUUCAGUAGGGACGAAGCGAAAGUGACGGUACCUAAAGAAAAAGCACCGGCUAACUACGUGCCAGCCGCCGCAGUAA
rnacentral:rRNA from 1 species